AUUCCAUGAUGGUGACAUUCUAGGAUAUAGUCUUGAAAGCGCUCCCAUGCUUCUAGAACAGAUUCAUCAUUUUGUUGCUGAAAACUUGUAAUCUUCCCACGGAGAGC
rfam:Sorghum bicolor cultivar BTx623 chromosome 5, whole genome shotgun sequence.